rnacentral:lncRNA from 1 species
GUCGAAAAUCGGUGCAAGAAUCAUGAUGAACAGUACAGGGAAAAUAGGGAGUGAAGCUGGUGGAACUUUUAACUUGCCAAAAUUUGUAUUCAUAGUUGCAGCUUGCUGGACUGAGAAUGUGGAUAGUUGAGCAAGGCAACAGUUGAGCAUUAUUGUGCAGGCGAAAAUCGGUAAGAUUUUCAUCACAAUCUUGACUUCUUCUACUUCUUGCACUGAGCAUUUCAGCACACCACAAGCGGCAGGAUUUCUUACAACAGCUCGAUUAAGGAACCUCAAACUUUUCGAUGGGAUCUCCAUCGAUUCUGCAUAUUUGAUGUUUCUAGUUUCCCCAUCUUCCUGGGAUAGUAGUACUGGAAUUGUAGAAGGGUAGGCAACAGUUGAGCAUUAUUGUGCAGGCAAAAAUCGGUAGGAUUUUCAUCACAAUCUUGACUUCUUCUACUUCUUGCACUGAGCAUUUCAGCGCACCACAAGCCGCAGGAUUUCUUACAACAGAGCUAUUAAGG